GACGAACGCUUGCGGCGUGCUUAACACAUGCAAGUCGAACGGAAAGGCCCUGCUUUUGUGGGGUGCUCGAGUGGCGAACGGGUGAGUAACACGUGAGUAACCUGCCCUUGACUUUGGGAUAACUUCAGGAAACUGGGGCUAAUACCGGAUAGGAGCUCCUGCUGCAUGGUGGGGGUUGGAGAGUUUCGGCGGUUGGGGAUGGACUCGCGGCUUAUCAGCUUGUUGGUGGGGUAGUGGCUUACCAAGGCUUUGACGGGUAGCCGGCCUGAGAGGGUGACCGGCCACAUUGGGACUGAGAUACGGCCCAGACUCCUACGGGAGGCAGCAGUGGGGAAUAUUGCACAAUGGGCGGAAGCCUGAUGCAGCAACGCCGCGUGCGGGAUGACGGCCUUCGGGUUGUAAACCGCUUUCGCCUGUGACGAAGCGUGAGUGACGGUAAUGGGUAAAGAAGCACCGGCUAACUACGUGCCAGCAGCCGCGGUGAUACGUAGGGUGCGAGCGUUGUCCGGAUUUAUUGGGCGUAAAGGGCUCGUAGGUGGUUGAUCGCGUCGGAAGUGUAAUCUUGGGGCUUAACCCUGAGCGUGCUUUCGAUACGGGUUGACUUGAGGAAGGUAGGGGAGAAUGGAAUUCCUGGUGGAGCGGUGGAAUGCGCAGAUAUCAGGAGGAACACCAGUGGCGAAGGCGGUUCUCUGGGCCUUUCCUGACGCUGAGGAGCGAAAGCGUGGGGAGCGAACAGGCUUAGAUACCCUGGUAGUCCACGCUGUAAACGGUGGGUACUAGGUGUGGGGUCCAUUCCACGGGUUCCGUGCCGUAGCUAACGCUUUAAGUACCCCGCCUGGGGAGUACGGCCGCAAGGCUAAAACUCAAAGGAAUUGACGGGGCCCCGCACAAGCGGCGGAGCAUGCGGAUUAAUUCGAUGCAACGCGUAGAACCUUACCUGGGUUUGACAUGGAUCGGGAGUGCUCAGAGAUGGGUGUGCCUCUUUUGGGGUCGGUUCACAGGUGGUGCAUGGCUGUCGUCAGCUCGUGUCGUGAGAUGUUGGGUUAAGUCCCGCAACGAGCGCAACCCUUGUUCACUGUUGCCAGCACGUUAUGGUGGGGACUCAGUGGAGACCGCCGGGGUCAACUCGGAGGAAGGUGGGGAUGACGUCAAGUCAUCAUGCCCCUUAUGUCCAGGGCUUCACGCAUGCUACAAUGGCUGGUACAGAGAGUGGCGAGCCUGUGAGGGUGAGCGAAUCUCGGAAAGCCGGUCUCAGUUCGGAUUGGGGUCUGCAACUCGACCUCAUGAAGUCGGAGUCGCUAGUAAUCGCAGAUCAGCAACGCUGCGGUGAAUACGUUCCCGGG
rnacentral:rRNA from 1 species